CCGCUGCCCGGGCUUCUGGCUUGCCUCAGUCUCCCCAUCUGCAAACUGGGCCUGUGGAAUGCUGCUCUCCUGCGGAGGGUCACACAGGGCCUGACUCAGGAAAACCCUACGUAUAGUCAGAUAGAUAGCUCUGCCCUAGGACAUCGCUCUCUUCCCUGAAUGAGGGGUCUCUGCACCCUGCUUUGGGAGACAGUGUCUCACCGAGUUGCCSAGCACCUUGCCG